rnacentral:rRNA from 1 species
UCGGGAAUUUUGGGCAAUGGGCGAAAGCCUGACCCAGCAACGCCGCGUGAGGGAUGAAGGUCCUCUGGAUUGUAAACUUCUUUUAUCUGGGACGAAAACGGGAUUUUUAUCUCAAUUGACGGUACCAGAGGAAUAAGCACCGGCUAACUCCGUGCCAGCAGCCGCGGUAAUACGGAGGGUGCGAGCGUUAUCCGGAUUUACUGGGUUUAAAGGGUGCGUAGGUGGGCUUAUAAGUCAGUGGUGAAAUCUCCGAGCUUAACUUGGAAACUGCCGUUGAUACUAUAGGUCUUGAAUUAUCUGGAGGUAAGCGGAAUAUGUCAUGUAGCGGUGAAAUGCUUAGAUAUGACAUAGAACACCAAUUGCGAAGGCAGCUUACUACAUAUAAAUUGACGCUGAGGCACGAAAGCGUGGGGAUCAAACA